rnacentral:rRNA from 1 species
GAUGAACGCUGGCGGCGUGCCUAAUACAUGCAAGUCGAGCGAACAGACGAGGAGCUUGCUCCUCUGACGUUAGCGGCGGACGGGUGAGUAACACGUGGAUAACCUACCUAUAAGACUGAGAAAACUUCGGGAAACCGGAGCUAACACCGGAUAAUAUAUUGAACCGCAUGGUUCAAUAGUGAAAGACGGCUUUGCUGUCACUUAUAGAUGGAUCUGCGCCGAAUUAGAUAGUUGGUAAGGUAACGGCUUACCAAGGCAACGAUGCGUAGCCGACCUGUGAGAGUGAUCGGCCACACUGGAACUGAGACGCGGACCAGACUCCUGCGGGAGGGAGCAGUAGGGAAUCGUCCGCAAUGGGCGAGAGCCUUGCGGAGCAACGCCACGUGAGUGAUGAAGGUCUUCGGUUCGUAAAACUGUGUUAUUAGGGAAAAACAAAUUUGUAAGUAACUGUGGACGUCUUGACGGUACCUAGUCAGAAAGCCACGGCUAACUACGUG